GUGAAGUAUUCAUCAAAUGUCUUUCCAUUAAUAUAAAAGAGGAACGACUGCGGUUUGAGGGUGAUUGAUCACAUUAAACUUUAUUAAAGCAAACGCUUUGUUUACACUAUC